CUGCUCAUAGAACAGAAAAUAGGCCCAAUAGAUCUGUUUACCUUGUACAUUCCUCUGUAAUGGCACGGGUGACUUUUUCCAGCAGCUCUUCUUUCAUAUUAAAGGGAGAAAGUUCUCACAAGGUAAAGUGCUACCUCAGCACUGAAUCAAAGAACAAAUGAGCAGAUUUUCCUGAAUGGUCAGCAAUUUACACUGCUGACACAUUUGAAUAUGUGCCUUAGUUAGACCACCUCAUCUAUUUGCCACUCCAGCUGCAGAAUAUGCAUGUUCACUUCACUGAUUUGUAAGUAGUACCUAAUUUUGUCAAAUAACUUUUUUUUUCUUUUAUUUAUUCUAAAAACUACAUCUUCCUUCUUUAAAGAACUUUAAAAACUAAUAAUCUUCAUCAGGCAAAACGUCAGACCCAGAUGCCAGGUAAUUCUUGACAAAGCUGGAUGGGAAAGAAAUUGAAUUACCUUGCCUUUAAAGGGACUUUCACACAAAACAAGACCCCUCUGCAGUAAAGCCAGUUGUUUCUUGAGCCAGCUAAACAAAGGCUAGAUAGAUUUAUGUUGUCCCCAAAGGAGUAAUUCUCACUCUCUAAUUGUUACAAGUCUUCCAACCAUCCCUUUUUCUCCACAAAGCAGACGUUUUUCCAGAAUGUUAAAAAAUGAGAGCACACUCACCAACUGACAAAGCUAUAGAUGAAUUAUGACUUUCAACAACAGAAAAAGUUAUCAACAGGAUGACAAAUCCAGCCAUUCAAACAAAAGUGUAUCUCUCACUUCCCAUUAUAAAAUUCCAGCUUGCACGUUAGUAGAGACUGUCAGUAAACAGCAUCUCUGAUCUGUGGAGAGUUUUUAUUUCAGCUCCAAACAGUAACAGCAGCUGACAAUGUCAAGGAGAAAAAAGAAAGGAAGAAAGAUUAAACCUGUAAGAAAAUGGAUUACCGAGGAGUAAACGCUACAACAGAAAUGUAUGUGUUCUUCAAUUUUCCCUCUCCUUUAAAGAAAUCAUGAUGGGAAGCUGCUUUCUACCUCUGCCCAUAAGAAUCAGCCUUAUAGACAGAGGCAGGAGCUCUACCUAAACUGAUCUUCAUCCACAGUCUUCAGCUGAAGCUGGACAGCAGCUAAAGAGAAUCUUACCCAACCCCUGCUCUAGCAUAGACACUCAGAGCAGGUUGCCCAGGUGACUACUGAAGAUCUCAAGGGAGGAAAUUCCACAGCCUCUGCGCAACUUGUACCAGUGCUCUUGCCACCUGUACAGUACAGAAAUGCUUCCUGGUUCUCCAGUUUGUGCCCAUUGCCUCUUGUCCUCAAUUCCACAACGGAUCACCUUGACUGAUGACAGUUCCUUUAAGUACAUUGUAGCUGUUUUGGCUACUUCUCAAGAUAGUACCUAACUCACAAAUGAGGAUGCAGGAACAUGAUUCACUGUCUCCUUGCUUAAAAGCGGUAAUACACUGAGGCAGCAGAAAACAGCACUGCUCCAAAACCACAGUUCUCUUAGCCUACUUGCAAAAUAAGGAAGAAAAUCCAGUAGUAGCAAAUACGUCCUCCUAGCACAUAUUUGCAAAGUGCAAAAAAAAUAAAAAAUAAAUCAUUUUCAGUAGGAGCAUAAUGGAGGACAAGAAAUGUAUAAAUCAAACAACAGUGUCCCAACUACACACGUUUAGACAAUGAAAAGCAGUGAAUUUACAAAACUUGUUUCUAAUUGCUGUUGGAUUUAACCUUAGGAAAGAUCAAUGAAAGAACUAGCAAUAACUCUGUUUAGUUGCUUUUUCCCUUCUAAAAAAAAAAAGCUUGAUUUGGGAGAAACUUGCUGAUCUUGCUGGGAUGUGGUAAGAGUUCUCAAUUCAGAAUUUUAAGCAUGCACAGUCUAUUACUUUUGGCUGGUAUGCAGACAGCAUUAGAAGGGGUUACAGGCUGGAACAGCCAUUGCUCAUUAGAACUUAGAAACAUUACGAAGGCUUUCCACAACAUGAUCCCUUUUGUUCAGCUUGCUGAUUUCUGCUAAGAUUUAAGUAAGAACAACACAAACAGUUGCCAACAGGAGGACUCAGUGUAAAUGACUACAAAACAAACAGAAGUAAUGCCAAAAACGUAAUCAAUGUAAACAACAAAUUCACAUAUACAAAUGCUCUUCCUUCUGUUUCAAAAUCUGUGAUAAGGAGAUUCUUUACAACACUGCUCAUUGCUACAUUCUUGUUUGCAAAAGGUGUAAUUCAGCAAUGUGAUCCAAUGUAAGCACUAAAAAAUAUUGGAAGCAAGCAAGCAGUGACUCCUUACAUUUCCUACAUUAAAGAUGUUUCUUUUUCAAAAAAAAAAAAAAAGCAAAAAUAAAAACAAAACAAACAAACAAACAACUUGUAUAUAUUAGCAGGUUCCUGAACCAAAGGUUCUGCUUCUUAUAAGCUUAAAAUUCCUGGGACCUACAAUCAGAAAGCCUAAAGAUACCCCUCUUUUGGAGGAGUAAAAAGAUGAAGUAUCCAUACUGCUCAGAAACAAGCCCCUGCUUCUUGCAUGCACUGUUUAUUAGUUAAGACUAAAAAGUCUUUUUUGUGAAGUCUUCUGUGAGCAUCAGAGAAUUUGUCAUUGCCCUCAUUAUAUAUUACUAUGUUACUGACUAUUAUUAUUGUUACCAGACAUUAUGAGUUGCAGAAGAAUUUUGCCUGCAAUCAAGCAAGUCUUUUCUACCCUACACGACUCAGUUUGAUAAGGAAGCAAACACAAACUGAACCUCGCUGUGCGACCUUUCCAGAAUCAACAUGCUUGCUGAAUCACUCAUUGCUUCACUAAAAAGCAUGCAAUUAAUGCAGCAAAUUAUCAAGCCACAGGAAUAAAGACCUGUACAUACUGCAAGCUCUUUGGCUGGCUUUCAGUGCACCGUUCCCAUGAUCUGCUCACUGAAGUUAAGCUAGCUGCAGUCACACAACUCACAAUGUUUGCUAAGCAGCUUGUCUUGAACAGCUCAUCUACAUAGAAGAUGCCAGAGCAAGUCUUGAAACUUUUGGACUGAGUAAAUUGGUACUGGAAACAUGCUCAAGAUACGUUCCAGUUACACUUGAAUAUACUUCUCUCCUUCACCAGGCUUCAAGGAACAUGGUGUGAAGUUUAUAAGAGAGCUGAACUUGUCAAGGAGUUAGAUGCAGAGCAGCAGGAGUUGAUGACUUAAAACAGAUUAUGCCUCAAAUCUGGCAGACAGCACAAAGACAUGCAGCAAUAGUGACCAAGACAUGGAGUGAGCAUAGCAUUUCUCAGCAUACAGAAGAGAUAACUAAGGGAUAUCAGACUACAAACAUUGGUUUGAUGAAAAUAAGCAGAGAGCAAUUACUCACUGCUUCUCUCAGGACACCUGUCAGCACUGUGCAGUUGCAUACUUAACUCAUCAUUUUUUCUACACAGCCCCUGUGUCAGCUCUGGAACCUUUUGCUGCAGGGUACCAUAGCCAGCUGUGGAUCAGAAAUGAUUACAGAUAAUGAAAUCACUGCCUGUUACCGGCUGCCAAAAAACUGGAAAUACAGACCAUGAAAGGAUCCUUCACUGUUUUUGAUCUUGAAGCAUCCCACAUUAGCCACCCAUUGAAAUGAAGGACUAAUAAAGAAGGACAUCGCCUAAAGAUAGAUGCCUUUUUUUUUUUUCCUAAACAAAUGGAGAUAAAAAGUAUACUCUCUCUUUUUUUUUUUUUUUUUUUUUUUUACAGCCAAAGUCAGCAUAUAACAAAAGAAAAGUGAUCAUUUCCCAGAUUCUGCUCUAAACACGAUUGAGUCAAAGCCAAUCCCAAGGUCAAGCUACUUAUUCUCCUAAGACAUCUUGGCAACUUCAGCACUCUUGGGCAAGGGCAUGACACUUCUGUAGCCAGGCUGACCUGCUUCUCCUUAUAAUAACCACUGGAGUCCACAGUGCAUUUGUCACCUGAACAUCUGUGAAGGCCAGAUUGUUAUCACAGAAGCAGGAACAAGAACUUAACAGAUGUUGUAGGCUAGCUGGACUCAGCAGUACGCUAAAUCCAGUGCUAUUACAAAUGGAUAUGUUAGCAGAGGAGAUGGAGUUACUUAGAUGUCCUACAGAGAAACAAUAGCCUUCAGCCCUUUUACCAGACUAAGAAAAAGUAAGAAUUUAUUUACUGUGCUUGUGAAAGAAAAGUUUGCAGAAAGUCCUUUGCCAAACUUACUCAAAUGCUGCAAGGGUAUUUCUCUUUUCAUUAUCUUUCAUGGUUACCAAACAGAUCAUAAAAUAACUUUAAAAAGGCAUGGGGGGUACUCAAUCUCAGGUUAGAAGAGAUGCAUUUAGUGGCCUAGAGGCACCCUUAAGUCUUCCGGUACUUCAAUCUUCAGCUAUAUCUUCACAAAUACACAGUAACUGAAGAGGCUGCUUCUGCCAAUGAGGAAGGUACAGAAAAGAAAAACAGCAGAUCCCAUUCAACUUGUUACACAUCUUCAGGGAGAAGAGCAAGGUAUUUACCUGGACACAAUAGGAAAAUCAAAUGUGAACAAUCACGUCCAACUAAAGUCAACAACGCCCUUUAAACAAGUCAAAAUUAUUUCAUUGGCUUUACAUUCAGUAGAAGAAUAAGUAUUAUAGCUGUGAGAAAGCAGAAGUUUUUCAAAUCUUUUAAAUGGCUCUAAAGCAAAAUCACAUUACAAAGGAGAAGCGAACUUCAGGAAGUGGUUGAAUUACUUUGGCUUGCACAGUGCUAUUUUCAACCCCUCCAUGAGUUAUGACAGUGUGGAAAUCUCUAUGUUUCCCUCAGCACCCUGCCCAGUGACAGGAUACUGCACAGAGGGAACUCACUACUCCCAUUUUGCUUCGUCUUUCAAAGCUCAAUGCUGCACACCGCGCUGGCCCUGUUUGAACACUGAACUUGUUUGACUCUCACCACGAUACUCCAGUCGUUCUACCUCAGAUCCCAGUGAUAUUAACCAGUCCACCACAAGCCUCUGACACCAUCUUACAAAAACCUGACCUGGCACAUUUGGGCCUGCUUUUCUGUCUGAUCCUCCAGUGCUCAGUGCAAGCUGGUGGCAGGCUUGUUUCCUAACUUCUUUUCAUCAAUCUCAGCUGCAGUGAGACACACCCAGACAUCUGCAAAACCAGGCCCAGGCUUAUAAUGAAUAUCUAGGAAGGGAAAAAGAAAAGAGAUCCUGAAAAAAGUGUAGGUUGUUUGGUUUAUUUUCUGGUGCCAGGCAUCAGAAGCAGAAAGAGAAUUUGGUUGCCAUGGCAUUUCCCACCUUCAUAGUCACCUAGGCCUACUCCUGUUGGAACACUCUGUCCCAGUCACUGCUUGCUUUCCCACAGGAAAUGGAGUUCCUAGAGGAAUGCUCUCCUGGGACACCCCUAUUCCUUCUGUAGAAGCAUCCAGGGCCUGAUCUGGACACAAAGCUGAAGUGCAGUAAAAGAAAAAAAGAUUACACACUGUAAAGCAUCAUUGUAACAAAACUGACCAGAAGUUUCAUUCCGCAAAAUGAGGACAAACUGCUCCACAUGGUAGACCUCAGAACAAUAAUGUGGAUUUCAGCCUCCCCUGAGUUUCCUAUUGACAUAGCAAUUGAACAUCCAGAAGCAGCUGAAAUCUACAAGAAACAGCUAACAGUAUGGAAGAAUAAAGCAGAUUACUGCCUCCACAGGUGGGCAGCUCACUGGGACACCCAAA